rnacentral:piRNA from 1 species
UAUCAGUGACUUAAAUAAGGAGUCUUGCCA